GAUGAACGCUGGCGGCGUGCCUAAUACAUGCAAGUCGAGCGAACGGACGAGAAGCUUGCUUCUCUGAUGUUAGCGGCGGACGGGUGAGUAACACGUGGAUAACCUACCUAUAAGACUGGGAUAACUUCGGGAAACCGGAGCUAAUACCGGAUGAUAUUUAGAACCGCAUGGUUCAAAAGUGAAAGACGGUCUUGCUGUCACUUAUAGAUGGAUCCGCGCUGCAUUAGCUAGUUGGUAAGGUAACGGCUUACCAAGGCAACGAUGCAUAGCCGACCUGAGAGGGUGAUCGGCCACACUGGAACUGAGACACGGUCCAGACUCCUACGGGAGGCAGCAGUAGGGAAUCUUCCGCAAUGGGCGAAAGCCUGACGGAGCAACGCCGCGUGAGUGAUGAAGGUCUUCGGAUCGUAAAACUCUGUUAUUAGGGAAGAACAUAUGUGUAAGUAACUGUGCACAUCUUGACGGUACCUAAUCAGAAAGCCACGGCUAACUACGUG
rnacentral:rRNA from 1 species